GCCCGUUAUCGGGAACCCUAAUGAAAAAACAUCAGUCUUCAUCUUCAACCAUUUCUAGGGUUCUUAACGUUCUGCAACUUCUGAUUUUUAAAACCGACCAUGGCGUUUCGACUGGGUUACGGGAACCUAUUAAUCAUGCCAGUAUCUGGUUUAAUCCUUCGUUCAUAUUGAUUCCGCUGGAGUUCUUAGCACCGGCAAUGGAAAACCUGAACCGUUACGGACUGUUCAAUCGUCAUCAUUAGCGACCUUCUUAUUCCUUCUCCCCCCCCCCACUCCUUCCAUAAUUUCUCAUUCAUUGCAUCAUCUCUGCUCCCGGUAAAUAUGCAUCUAUAAAUAGAUAUAAGUUUUGAUACCAUAAACUUGAUCUGUUCAUCCCUCGCAAUCAUAAUAACUCUUACAACUUUCUUUGAGAAGAAUGGCGAACUCCUCUCUCGUCCUUUCUGACUUGAAGGUCGGGCAUUCAAGCAGCUUUUUGAUUACCAUGGUGUUCAGCCAUUGAAUUUUGUUUUCAGUUAUUGAUUUGGUGAUGAAGUGCAAGCAUAUAAUGAUUGAAUUCUUAUCGGUUUGAAAUUCUUUCAGACAAUGAUUCCGAUGUCUUGGAGUUUCCAGUUAAGCAGAGUAAAAAAAAUCCCAAACAGAUCUGAACCGUGGCAGUAGAAUCUUCUUAUGGCUGAGUAAAAAUCACACCUCCAAGCUAAGGAAGACAAAUGACUGAAAACAGCAGGACGAGAAUGCAAUUGAAAAUGAGGCGCCUCCUCCUCCACUCCCAAGGUUCCAGCUCCUUUUGCAAAACCUUGACCUUUCGGACACAAGUACACAUGAUCUCCGGUCAAUCACCUAUCAAGAGUUGGUUUCAAAGGUUUUGCUUGCCAAUGAGUGACGUUCCAUACAUAUUUCAAUGAUAUAGGAAACAAUUUAUUGAGUAUCUUUCUUUAUUUCUGUUCUGUGAAUCUUUUAUGUCAUAAGCGUUCUAUGAUGGUUGAUGUUUUUGAUUUUGAUAUUUGCAGGUGAGCCACGAAACUGUUUGCUUCAUAGUGGAUGGAGCAUGUUUGUUUCGUUGAUGUGAAGUAUCUAAUUCUUCUAUAGAGGCGAGAAUGUGGAAUUACGUGAGAUGUGUAAGUCCACAUAGAGUCUGAUGAAUAAUACUCCAUAAACAUGAGAUUUAAAUGAGACGUAAUGCGGUUUUAAAUUACUAAAUCCACCUAAGUGGACAAUUUACGUUGGUAUUGUUGAGCUUGAAGGUGAUGGUCGCAAUUGGUAUAAGGUGGAAUUGGCAAACCGUGAAUUAUAAUUUUUGGAAUUAAGGGCAGAUUCCUUGCUUGGUAUGCACCGGGUCAAGAGUCAGUCUAUUUCAGAAGAGAUCGUGAAGAAUGCACCAGUUCCUGCGAUUUUUUAUGAGAACUCUGUUGACCGUGUUUUGUUGAUUGUGGAGGUUAAAGAAGAGGCACUUCCUCAGAUUUUUUUUUUCUUCAUCAGAAGCCUUGAUAAGAAAGAACCAGUUCCUGAGAUGAUUCCAAUGGCAGCUUAGUGAUGCCCUUUACCAGAAGCAUUAGAAACAGUUGAAUCACUUGAAAAAGUAUUAAAGAGGACGAAUUAAGUAAGAGGGAAGACUCAAUGCAGAAAAAUGCAUCAACGGAUCAGUUGCAGUCACCAAUUUAUAUUAAAGUGAACAGGGGAGGAGCUUGAUAUUUUUGUAAACGAUGGAGGCUCUAUCAUGGAGAAUCGAGGAUAGUCUCUCAAGUGGCAUAUGGAGUUAUUACACAGUGUCUUUAUAAUUAAUCCAACUCUCAGAACAGAUUUUUUUAUCAAUCUCAAAAAUUUUGUUACGUCUUUUUCUCUGUUUUUCAAUAAAUGUUAAGAGCUCUGCAAAUCUGUCAAGAGCACUUAAAUUGUAAACGAAAGUCCUCUUAUUCACGUUUGAUAUCGUGAUAACAUUUAUA